GUGGGGAAUUUUGGACAAUGGGGGCAACCCUGAUCCAGCCAUCCCGCGUGUGCGAUGAAGGCCUUCGGGUUGUAAAGCACUUUUGGCAGGGAAGAAAAGUUUCGGGCUAAUACCCUGGAGCGAUGACGGUACCUGCAGAAUAAGCACCGGCUAACUACGUGCCAGCAGCCGCGGUAAUACGUAGGGUGCAAGCGUUCAUCGGACUUACUGGGCGUAAAGCGUGCGCAGGCGGUUCGGAAAGAGAGAUGUGAACUCCCAGGGCUUAACCUUGGAACUGCAUUUUUAACUGACGAACUCGAGUAUGUCAGAGGGGGGUAGAAUGCCACGUGUAGCAGUGAAAUGCGUAGAGAUGUGGAGGAAUACCGAUGGCGAAGGCAGCCCCCUGGGCCUGCACUGACGCUCAUGCACGAAAGCGUGGGGAGCAAACAGGAUUAGAUACCCGGGUAGUCC
rnacentral:rRNA from 1 species